AACGCGAAGAACCUUACCUGGUCUUGACAUCCACGGAAGUUUACAGAGAUGAGAAUGUGCCUUCGGGAACCGUGAGACAGGUGCUGCAUGGCUGUCGUCAGCUCGUGUUGUGAAAUGUUGGGUUAAGUCCCGCAACGAGCGCAACCCUUAUCCUUUGUUGCCAGCGGUCCGGCCGGGAACUCAAAGGAGACUGCCAGUGAUAAACUGGAGGAAGGUGGGGAUGACGUCAAGUCAUCAUGGCCCUUACGACCAGGGCUACACACGUGCUACAAUGGCGCAUACAAAGAGAAGCGACCUCGCGAGAGCAAGCGGACCUCAUAAAGUGCGUCGUAGUCCGGAUUGGAGUCUGCAACUCGACUCCAUGAAGUCGGAAUCGCUAGUAAUCGUGGAUCAGAAUGCCACGGUAAAUACGUUCCCGGGCCUUGUACACACCG
rnacentral:rRNA from 1 species